rnacentral:rRNA from 1 species
GACGGACGCUGGCGGCGUGCCUAAUACAUGCAAGUUGAGCGCUGAAGGUUGGUACUUGUACCAACUGGAUGAGCAGCGAACGGGUGAGUAACGCGUGGGGAAUCUGCCUUUGAGCGGGGGGCAACAUUUGGAAACGAAUGCUAAUACCGCAUAAAAACUUUAAACACAAGUUUUAAGUUUGAAAGAUGCAAUUGCAUCACUCAAAGAUGAUCCCGCGUUGUAUUAGCUAGUUGGUGAGGUAAAGGCUCACCAAGGCGAUGAUACAUAGCCGACCUGAGAGGGUGAUCGGCCACAUUGGGACUGAGACACGGCCCAAACUCCUACGGGAGGCAGCAGUAGGGAAUCUUCGGCAAUGGACGAAAGUCUGACCGAGCAACGCCGCGUGAGUGAAGAAGGUUUUCGGAUCGUAAAACUCUGUUGGUAGAGAAGAACGUUGGUGAGAGUGGAAAGCUCAUCAAGUGACGGUAACUACCCAGAAAGGGACGGCUAACUACGUG